AUUGAACGCUGGCGGCAUGCCUUACACAUGCAAGUCGAACGGCAGCACGGGAGCAAUCCUGGUGGCGAGUGGCGAACGGGUGAGUAAUGUAUCGGAACGUGCCCAGUAGUGGGGGAUAACGUAGCGAAAGCUACGCUAAUACCGCAUACGAUCUAUGGAUGAAAGCGGGGGAUCGCAAGACCUCGCGCGAUUGGAGCGGCCGAUAUCAGAUUAGGUAGUUGGUGGGGUAAAAGCUCACCAAGCCGACGAUCUGUAGCUGGUCUGAGAGGACGACCAGCCACACUGGGACGAGGACACUGCCCAGCCGCCUACGGGAGGCAGCAGUGGGAAAUUUUGGACAAUGGGCGCAAGCCUGAUCCAGCAAUGCCUCGGGCAGGAUGAAGGCCUUCGGGUUGUAAACUGCUUCGUACGGAACGAAACGGCGAGCUCUAAUACAGUUUGCUAAUGACGGUACCGUAAGAAUAAGCACCGGCUAACUACGUGCCAGCCGCCGCCGUAA
rnacentral:rRNA from 1 species